rnacentral:rRNA from 1 species
GGCUUACACAAGCGGUGGAGCAUGUGGUUUAAUUCGAAACAACGCGCAGAACCUUACCAAUCCUUGCAAUAUACAGGAAACAGCUGUUACAAGUUGUCUUUUGGUAUACAGGCGCUGCAUGGCUGUCGUCAGUUCGUGGCGUGAGCUGUUGGGUUAAGUCCUAGAACGAACGCAACCCUCUUAGCAUGCGCAAUAAUGUUGCCUUGCUAAACUGCCAGUGACAUACGGGAGGAAGGAGAGGAUGACGUCAAGUCCGCAUGGCCCUUAUGGGUUGGGCUACACACGUGCUACAAUGGCGAACACAAAGGGAUGCAAGAUGGCAACAUGGAGCAAAUCCUCAACUUUCGUCGUAGUUCGGAUUGUUCUCUGCAACUCGAGAACAUGAAGUUGGAAUCGCUAGUAAUCGUAGAUCAGCAUGCUACGGUGAAUUUGUAUCUAAGCCUUGUACACACCGCCCGUCACAUAAUGGGAGCGGGACUUGCACAAAGCAUAUUAAAUACCAUUUGGACAGAUUUUAACACGUUUUUUUCUGCCUGUGUUUGUUUAGUACGUUACUGUAGGUACUGUGACUGAUAUGAAGUCGUAACAAGGUAGCCGUAGGGGAACCUGCGGCUGGAAGGACUCCUUU